rnacentral:rRNA from 1 species
UACGUAGGGUGCAAGCGUUAUCCGGAAUUAUUGGGCGUAAAGAGCUCGUAGGCGGUUUGUCGCGUCUGCUGUGAAAACCCGAGGCUCAACCUCGGGCCUGCAGUGGGUACGGGCAAACUAGAGUGCGGUAGGGGAGAUCGGAAUUCCUGGUGUAGCGGUGAAAUGCGCAGAUAUCAGGAGGAACACCGGUGGCGAAGGCGGAUCUCUGGGCCGUAACUGACGCUGAGGAGCGAAAGCAUGGGUAGCGAACAGG